rnacentral:rRNA from 1 species
AUUUUAAAGUCUAACCUGCCCACUGAUAAAAAUUAAAGGGCCGCAGUAUAUUGACUGUGCAAAGGUAGCAUAAUCAUUUGUCUUUUAAUUGAAGACUGGAAUGAAUGGUUGGAUGAAAUAUUAACUGUCUCAUUUUUAAAAGAAUAAAAAUUUAUUUUUUUAGUUAAAAAACUAAAAUAAAUUUAAAAGACGAGAAGACCCUAUAGAUCUUAAUAAUUAAUAAUUAUAUAAGAGAUAGAAUAAAAAUUAUUUUAUAUUUUAUUAUUAUUUUGUUGGGGUGACAGGAAAAUUUAAUUAACUUUUUUUAAUUUAAAAUACAAUGAUUUUUGAGUAUUUGAUCCAGUAUUAUUGAUAAUAAAAUUAAGUUACCUUAGGGAUAACAGCGUAAUUUUUUUAGAGAGUUCUUAUCGAAAAAAAAGUUUGCGACC